AUGGGGAGGGCUGGGUGGGCAAUGGGCGUGGGCAUAGUCUGGGAUAAACAGGGAAGGUUAAGUGCACCUAGUGCCUGGUGUCUGGGAGAUCAUGAGGAAAGGCUUCACUGUUACUCUCAGGGUCAACUUGGUGUGAUGCACGCACCAACUCAGCAGCCAAGUUUAUCUGGGGUAUGUCAAUCUCCCAAGUUACAGAAACUUCCCAGAAGUAGCAACAGGACCCAGGAGCUCACAGCUCUGGGUUUUCACUUAAUCCUUGUACAGUGUUGCCUCGACUUCUCCAAGUUUCUGGUGUUUAUGAAGACCCAUAACAGCUGGCUGCAAACUCAACUCCUGAGAAUCGUUUCUGGGAGAAUGCCGAAGACUGCAUUUCAACUCCAAGAAUGGUGUACUUUAAACAUGCUGUAUGUUUGAAAUGAUUUCUUUGGAAGAGAAGAAGAAUUGGAAACAUAGG
rnacentral:lncRNA from 1 species